rnacentral:rRNA from 1 species
CCCUUUGUGAACAUACCUAUAACUGUUGCUUCGGCGGGUAGGGUCUCCGCGACCCUCCCGGCCUCCCGCCCCCGGGCGGGUCGGCGCCCGCCGGAGGAUAACCAAACUCUGAUUCAACGACGUUUCUUCUGAGUGGUACAAGCAAAUAAUCAAAACUUUUAACAACGGAUCUCUUGGUUCUGGCAUCGAUGAAGAACGCAGCGAAAUGCGAUAAGUAAUGUGAAUUGCAGAAUUCAGUGAAUCAUCGAAUCUUUGAACGCACAUUGCGCCCGCCAGCAUUCUGGCGGGCAUGCCUGUUCGAGCGUCAUUUCAACCCUCAAGCUCCGCUUGGUGUUGGGGCCCUACAGCUGAUGUAGGCCCUCAAAGGUAGUGGCGGACCCUCCCGGAGCCUCCUUUGCGUAGUAACUUUACGUCUCGCACUGGGAUCCGGAGGGACUCUUGCCGUAAAACCCCCCAAUUUUCCAAAGGUUGACCUCGGAUCAGGUAGGAAUACCCGCUGAACUUAAGCAUAUCAA